rnacentral:snoRNA from 1 species
ACCUGCAUCGAAAGUGAUUUUGGUCUGGUUUGUGGCCUGGUCAUUGAUAGUGCAGGAAGAGAAUCCUUGACGGCAUUUCCCGUGUUUGGAGGGUCCUUUUUCGUCUCUGCCAAACCCUGAGCUUUUCAGACA